GCGGUACCGGUUCACGUCAAGUACUGGCGACCCGGCGACC
rnacentral:ncRNA from 1 species